rnacentral:rRNA from 1 species
UUGGGGGAAAAUUAGUAUAAAGUAAAUUAAUAAAAAUAAUUUUAAAAUAUGAUAAUUGGGGGAUUAGAGUAUUUUUAAAGAAAAAAUUUUAUAAUUUAUAGUAAAUUAGUAUUGUAUGAGAAUUUUGAAAUAAGUGAAAUUAAUUAUUAAAAAAGUAAAUUUUAAUUAUUGUAUCUUGUGUAUCAGAGUUUAUUGAAAAAUAAGUUUAAAAAAAAAUAAGUUCUCGAAUUUAAAAGAGUUAAUUAAUUAAAAAAUUUAUUGUGGGAAAAAUAUUUUUAAUAGUUAAUUAGAAAUGAAAUGUUAAUCGUUUUUAAAUAUAUCUAGUUUUUUUAGAAAAAAAUUUAAUUUUUAAAUUAAUAUUAAUAAAUAAAUUAAGUGGGGAAUUUAUUUUUAGUUUUAAUUUUAAUAUUUUAGGGGAUAAGCUUUAAUUUAAAUUUUUAUAAUUUAAUAAAUAUAAGUAUGAAAAUUUUAAGAUUUAUAUUGUUUGUAAAUUAUAAUUUUUUAUAAAUAAUUUCAUUUAAAAUAAAAUUUAAUGUUAAAUUUAAUUUUUUAUAAAAAAAUAAAAUUUAAUUUAAUAGUUUUAGAUAUAAUGAUAAAAUUAGUAUAAAUAAAUAAUUAAUUUUAUUUUUAAUUUAUUUGUUCAAUUAAAAAUAAGGAAUUCGGCAAAAAUUUAUAUUCACUUGUUUAUCAAAAACAUGUCUUUUUGAUUGUUAAUUUAAAGUCUAAUCUGCCCACUGAUUUAUAAUUAAAGGGCUGCAGUAUUUUGACUGUACAAAGGUAGCGUAAUCAUUAGUCUCUUAAUUAGUGACUUGUAUGAAAGAUUGAAUGAGAUAUAAACUGUCUCAAUUUUAAUUUUAGAAUUUAAUUUUUUAAUUAAAAAGUUAAAAUAUACUUAAAAGACGAGAAGACCCUAUAGAGUUUAAUAUUGAUUUUAAUUAUAAAUUUAUAUAUUAAUUUAAAAUUUAAAUUAAAUUUUAUAUUUUGUUGGGGUGAUAGAAAAAUAAAAUUAACUUUUUUUAUAGUUAUAUAAAUAUAUAUGUAAUAUAUAUAUAUAUAUAUGUAUAUAUAUAUAUAUUUAAGUAUAUGUGUAUAUUACAACGUUAAUAAAUGAAUAAAUGAUCCAUAAAUUUAUGAUUAAAAGAUUAAAUUACCUUAGGGAUAACAGCGUAAUUUUUUUUUUUAGCACAAAUAAGAAAAAAAGUUUGCGACCUCGAUGUUGGAUUAAGGUAAAAUUUAAAUGCAAAAGUUUAAAAUUUUGAUCUGUUCGAUCAUUAAAAUCUUACAUGAUCUGAGUUCAAACCGGUGUAAGCCAGGUUGGUUUCUAUCUUUAAAAAAUUAAAAUAUUUUAGUACGAAAGGAUCAAAUAUUAAAAAUAAUUUUAUUAAGGGAAUUUUAUUAAAUUAAUUAUAAAAAUUGAAUUUUAAACU